rnacentral:rRNA from 1 species
AAUGAACGCUGGCGGCAGGCCUAACACAUGCAAGUCGAACGGGCACUUCGGUGCUAGUGGCGGACGGGUGAGUAACGCGUGGGAACGUGCCCUUUGGUUCGGAAUAGCCUCGGGAAACUGGGAGUAAUACCGGAUAAGCCCUACGGGGGAAAGAUUUAUCGCCAAAGGGGCGGCCCGCGUUGGAUUAGGUAGUUGGUGGGGUAAUGGCCUACCAAGCCGACGAUCCAUAGCUGGUUUGAGAGGAUGAUCAGCCACACUGGGACUGAGACACGGCCCAGACUCCUACGGGAGGCAGCGGUGGGGAAUCUUAGACAAUGGGGGAAACCCUGAUCUAGCCAUGCCGCGUGAUCGAUGAAGGCCUUAGGGUUGUAAAGAUCUUUCAGUUGGGAAGAUAAUGACGGUACCAACAGAAGAAGCCCCGGCUAACUCCGCGCCAGCCGCCGCGGUAACAC